rnacentral:rRNA from 1 species
UACGGAGGGUGCGAGCGUUAUUCGGAAUUACUGGGCGUAAAGCGCGUGUAGGCGGGGGAGCAAGUCUGAUGUGAAAGCCCCGGGCUUAACCCGGGAAGUGCAUUGGAAACUGUUUUUCUUGAGUACUGGAGAGGAAGGGGGAAUUCCCGGUGUAGAGGUGAAAUUCGUAGAGAUCGGGAGGAAUACCAGUGGCGAAGGCGCCCUUCUGGACGGUUACUGACGCUGAGACGCGAAAGCGUGGGGAGCAAACAGG